rnacentral:tRNA from 1 species
GAUGAUAUGGCUGAAAAUUAGGUAAUAAACUGUAAAUUUAUUUAUGAGUGUAACUCUUUCAUCG